ensembl:ribozyme RNaseP_nuc Nuclear RNase P
GGCAGUGGAAGCUCAUCAGGGGGACUCACACAUUGUUGCUCAUCACUCCAAGGCUCCUGGGAAGGUCUGAGACUGGAGCUGCCAGCAUUCCUAAUAGGGCUCUCUCUAUGCAAGGAGGUGAGUUCUCAGAGAGCAGGGCUCCACAUAUGGGAUGGCUAGACAGAAGAAGCCCUGAGUAGGCAGAUGCCUACCUCUCUGGAGCUUGGAACAAAAUGUUUCACAAAGCACAAAACUAGAAGACAAUAAAAAAAAACGGUGGAUUUUUGAUAUU